AUGACUAGGGACAACCUUAGGAAGAGACACAUUAUCAAACCCCUUGAUUGUGUUUACUGCUUGGAACAAGAGUCUUGUUCUCACCUAUUUUUUGAAUGUAUAGAUGCUAAACAUCUCUGGGCCCACAUUGAGGAAUAUUUCUCUAGUCAGAUUGGCUCAUCCUUCGAAUUUGUUGCCAGAUUCUGGAUUGCUACCAAAAAGUGCUCAGUUUUAAACACUGUUAGCUCAGCUGUCCUUUGGUGCCUCUGGAAAUAUAGAAAUGCUAUGAUUUUCAGUAACACCUCCUGGAUUUCCAUUCCGCAGGUCUUGAGGUCGAUCAGGAACAUGGUGAGGAACUGGGCAAUUCUCUCCUCCGGAUCGGACAAGGACAAGUUGACGAGCUUCGUGGAAACCCUAACAAGAUCCCUCCAGAAACCGUUGGCGAUCACUUGUGGCUGA
rnacentral:rRNA from 1 species